CAACCAUCAAAACGAAUCAUCAGCCUCUCACAUCCUGAGACCUUCACCAGCUUCUUCUCCAACACUCCUCUUCCAGCUUCAUGCUCUCCCACAUUUAAACGGCACGACGGAAGUAAAAACGGGCACCAGAACCAUUCGUCACUAUGAUUUGCUUUAUUUGGUGUACACGGAAGAGAAAGAGACGAAAUCAAAAGGAAGGACGAUACAGAUGAACUAACCAGAUCGGAAACGUGAUGCGAACAAAACAGAACGAUUACCGCGUGAGGUGCCUUGGAGCUGCACUUGGAUUUUUGACUUGCGGUGGAGCAAUAUGAAGAGUGUUGAAAUGAGAUGAAGAUGCGAGUUUGAACGGUGAAUCUUCAGGGAAGCUUCGACCUCGGGAUAGAGAGUAGAGACCGAUCUUCAAGACUGAAAAAACCUCCUUCUUAAUUCGAACGCUCUAGCGCAAGCCAUGGAUAACUUCAAAUUCGGAUCCAAGAUAGAGCGAAAUUUCGACGUGGUGAUUACAGGGUCUGCUAGUCGUUUUCAGAAUGGAGAAAUUGGUUGAAGAUGGGAGUUUGGACAGUGAAGAAGGUUAAGGCUUUGGGUCGUGAAGAACAUUGAAGCGCUUGGUAGUGAAGGACCAUGAAUCUCUUGUGUGAAGAAAAUUGAAGUUGUUGAAGAAGAAGAUUUUGAGUGUGAAUUGCAGGACCAUCAAGCCCCUCCAUAAGUUGCAGUGAGGUUAUCUUUAUAGCAGUUCAGAUUCUGUUAGAAACUUGCUCCAAAUUCAGGUGAAAUUUAUAGUUAGAAAUUCACUUCAAAUGUCACUGAAAUUCAAGACUUAGUUAGGGAUAAAAAUUGUUUUGAAAUGUCAAUGAAAUUCAGUUGGAAUUUAGAAUUAGUUACAAAUGAGAAUGUUAGUUGGAAAUUCAGAUUUUGGGAAAUGACAACUAAAACUCAGAUUUAAAUGAAAUGAAAAUGAAAAUUGAAGCCGGGCUUUGCAGUGCAAUUAAAUGAACUCAGAUUUAAAAUGCAAUUUUACUGAAAUUUACUGUGAAAUGCAAUUUGUUUUCCUUCCUUCGAAAUGCCCUCUGCUGAUGUCUAUAGUUAUUCAAAAAAAUGUUAUGUGAUAGUUAGUUGAUGAAAUUUUGCUGUUAUAAAAUUGGAAUGAAAUGAUAUUGUUAGAAAUUGUUUUGAAAUUGAAUGUUGUUAGAAAUUGUAAAAUGAAAUAUUAUUUGUAAAAUGAAAUGUUGUUAGAAAUUGUUUGUUAGGUUGUUGUUAUAAUGAGGUGCAAUUCAUGAGUUAGUUAAUCAUAUAUAUAUUUUGUUAACAAAAUGGAAACUGAAUUGAAAUGCCAACUGGGCUAAUUUGGUUUUCUCCUAAGUUUAAUGGACUAGAUGGUUAGCCCUUGUAUUUGAUUCAACUUCUUUAAAACCCAUUCCUGUUCCAGACCUGCAGGACGAAAAUUCUGCUCAAUUCUUUAAUCCUUGGGAUAUUGGACUAAGUUUUGUUUAGGAAAAGAACCUAGUUUGGGAUUCAACUUCCCACUGACUGGAAUGAUCAUGCUUUCUGUUUCAAUUCUGCUUUGGGUUGGCAUUUGUUAUUGUAUAGAAAGUGGUGAUUAGAUGGAAGACAAAAUGGCUAGUUAUUGUUCAAUUAAAGGUUAAUGGUGAGGUUAGUUGUUUUCUUGAUUUUUGUAAAUGCCAUGUUGUAGUGUGUUAUUGAACUGCUAGGCUUGCUGGAGAUUUUCAUGGGGUUUUGGAUGGCUAAUGCAUUGACUGUUUGGUUGUGUUAUUCAAGUUUGAUCAUGGCCCUGUUGCAAAUUGUUGUUUUGUAUUAUUGUAAUGAUCUUGACUUGUUGUAUUGUUGCUUGGCUUAUGAUGUAGGUUAUAGAAAUAUGGAUUGUGUAGGGCUUGUUGCAGAGCUUCUCGUUGAAGGUUGUGUAGGUCUAAUGGUUGUUGAAUGCAGGUCAACGGUUAUGUUAAUGAAUUAAUGCUUCGGUUGGCAGCAGCAGCAAGGGAAGUGCUUGGUCUGUGUCGAAGGAUCGACGAACCAACUUGUAGAUCUAGUUUUGGUAGGAUUGUCAUGAUUGUAUGAUAUAGGUUUUGAAUUAAAAAUUUGAACUUCAUGUCAUGAGCUUGUGCUCUUAUGAAGUUGGUAAUUUGAGUGGAAUGUUUGGAUUUGCGUAUGAGUUAAUCAUGUGUAGGUUAUGGUUUAGAUGUGGUUGGAACCAAAUCAAUAUGUAAACCAAUGGUUGGAAGUGUAUAGAAGUGAGAAUUGGUGUAGGUUGGAUUA